GAUGAUUGGCCGCCCUGGGGACUCUGUAGUUGGCCGUGUUUACAUCAGUGGUUGGAGACUAGACCUAACAGACAAGUAUGUCCAGUUUGCAAAGCGGGAAUCAGCCGGGACAAGGUCAUCCCACUCUAUGGCAGAGGCAGCACUGGACAGCAGGAUCCCAGAGAGAAGACUCCUCCUCGUCCUCAAGGCCAGAGGCCAGAGCCAGAAAAUAGAGGGGGAUUUCAAGGAUUUGGAUUUGGAGAUGGUGGCUUUCAGAUGUCUUUUGGAAUUGGAGCAUUUCCAUUUGGGAUAUUUGCCACAGCAUUUAACAUAAAUGAUGGGCGACCUCCUCCAGCCGUCCCUGGGACACCCCAGUAUGUGGAUGAGCAGUUCCUGUCACGCCUCUUCCUGUUUGUUGCCCUGGUGAUCAUGUUCUGGCUCCUGAUCGCCUAAGACAGGACCCUGUUUACUUCUACAGCAGCACCUCUGGGCUGGUGAUAUGCCGAACCCACUCCUGUGUUUGAUUUGUUUAAUCCCGACCCUGGAAUCAAGGGGCAGAAACACAUCAAGGAGUCUUGCUUCUCCAUUAGAGCUUUGGGACUCGAAAGCAGUUGGCGAGGAACCCCCACUUUCACCACUGCUGCACACACACUAUAACCUCAGGUCUUGUGUUGACUCACUGCUCCUGGGUGGCAAUGGGAAGUCCUGACCCAGUCUGCUCAGUAGUCCCAGCUCUGCACAGGGGAGACGGGGGAAGAAAGAAACAGUUCUUUCUCGAGAACUUUAAAUUACAAAAAUGAAGGGAUGAACCACACGGUAUUCACAGACACUUUCAUCUUUUACAUACCCCUUGGUAAGUGGCCUCCACUCCCUAUCCUGAGAGACUCCCUUCCACAGCCCAGUACUGCUCCUCCCGCCUUCCCCUUCCACAGCAAAGACAAAGAGUUGCUGCCCAAGAAGGCCAUGAUCGUAGCAGCAGAAGUUGAAGAUGCUGCAUGACCUUACCAGGGACUCUGGUCCUGGCUUGGCCCUGGGCCUCGUUCAGUGUCUCGGCCCUAGAGCAGCUGGGAUGACCUGCUGUCUUCCUGGUGUAGAUUGUCCCUGAUGCCACUUGGCUCAGAUUCCCAUCCUCCUUCUCCCCUAGGCUGCUGUUGAAUUCAGACUGAUGCAGCUUCAGGGCUGAUGCAGGAGCAACAGGACAGGUAGCCCCGCCCCUAGGCUGGAGAAGCCCGAGUCAUCCUCUCCCAGAACUUGCCCAGAGAAACUGGAGGCCUUCUCAGGUCAGCCUAGCUACAUGUAACACCACCACCCUCAGAAGCCAUUGUCCUUUUUUAAAAGAGACUGGGACUCUGAUUCCAUCUGCUGUUGGUUUGGCUUCCUGGAUUUACCUGAAAACUCCUUGAAUGUGUGCUGAACCCAGGGACACAUGAGGCUCCUGAGCCAGCAACCCCUGGUGACAUGCAAUGCAAGGACUGCAGAGACACAGUGUGGUCGUCAUUCCUAUUCCCUCACAUUGAUUUGUUCUUGAACUUCCAAGCUGUUUCCUCUGAAUCUGAUUGUGGGAUUGUGGUGCCAGGCAGGAGAACAAUUCACUUGCUAAGACAGUUCUCACUCUGCCUGUCAGGCCUCAUCUUAGAAGUGUCACCUCAGCAGGGCAGCACGAUGAGCUUCUGCUGGACCCUUGUUCACUUCUCCGGCACCUACUGCCCCAGCAGUAACAGACGCGGGAGAAAGCCUGGCCUGCUGGGUUUUCAAGAUGUGACUCUGCAUAAUCUAUGGAGCCCUAGACCUUGAGGGUGUGAAAGAAUCCUCCUCCUCACUGCACAGUCCUCACCUGCCGAUGCCAGUGUUAGUGUUGAAAUGAGCACAGUAUGAAGUAUUGUGUAGGAGGGUGGUUUGGCAACUGUAGCUGGUAAGAAUAAGCCACCAACUUCAUGGUGUGCCUGACAGAUUUUAAAUAUUCUUUGUCGCUUGGAAAUCCUGUCAGAGGGCCCUGGAGUGUCUCUGUUCUAGAGAGAGUUGGUAGGAUCCUUCUGUGUAGUGUGGCCCUAAGUAGUAGAGGGAAAACGUAAGCCAAUGAACACAAAAGAGAGAAAAGUUGUGAGUAGUGGAGUAAACCAUUUGUAAGCUGGUGAAAUGGCCAACCCAGGCGUGCACCAGCAGUCAUCCCAAGGCAUGCAGUAGCACAGCUGUGGCGGCCUGUGCCCUUUGUGAGCAUUGCAGGGCUGUACAUCUGCCAGCAGCUUUCCCUUCUGGGCUCUCUGUGUCCUCAGCUCCACCUUUCCGCCUCCCCCAUGGACAAGGACAGUCAGAAAAUGGGAACACAGAAGGCAGCAUACCUUGACCAGCCAUUGAUUUUCACUGUUGUGAAAGUGAUUUGAUUUAGAAUUAAAUGGUUUUACAUUA
rnacentral:lncRNA from 1 species